rnacentral:rRNA from 1 species
GAUGAACGCUAGCGGCAGGCUUAAUACAUGCAAGUCGAGGGGUAGCAAGAUUGUAGCAAUACAAUUGUUGACGACCGGCAAACGGGUGCGGAACACGUACACAACCUUCCUACAAGUGGGGAAUAGCCCAGAGAAAUUUGGAUUAAUACCCCGUAACAUAGCGAUGUGGCAUCACAUUGCUAUUAUAGCUUCGGCGCUUGUUGAUGGGUGUGCGGCUCAUUAGAUAGUUGGCGGGGUAACGGCCCACCAAGUCUACGAUCAGUAGCUGAUGUGAGGGCAUGCUCAGCCACACGGGCACUGAGACACGGGCCCGACUCCUACGGGAGGCAGCAGUAAGGAAUAUUGGACAAUGGAUGCAAGUCUGAUCCAGCCAUGCCGCGUGAAGGAUUAAGGUCCUCUGGAUUGUAAACUUCUUUUAUAAGGGACGAAAAAAGGUCUUUCUAGAUCGUCUGACGGUACCUUAUGAAUAAGCACCGGCUAACUCCGUGCCAGCCGCCGCAGUAACAC